GAGCAAUCUGAAGAGGGACAUGAUUUCGAUGCUACCGCUUUUUUGGAGGUGGUUUUGGAUGAUUCUCAACCACAACGGAAAAGUUGUGACACUCAAUUCAAAGAUGCAGUCGAAAAUUCUUCUUCGACCGAAACAUCAGAAUGGCAAAAAUCACAUAAAACUAAAUACUUUUUUUGUAUCAACUGUAGUUUUCGUAAUGAAAUCGAUUGGUCAAGCUGGUCUGAUGCCACCGACGACACAUCGUCUUAUUGUCCAUCUCUCAGAAAUGAAGCUUCAGCGCAGAGUUCUCUAUUUCGAUGUGGUUAUUGUCACCAAACUUCGAACUGGAAGCAUGUGAUUGAGCGACAUUGUCGAUUGGUCCACAAUACGCCUGCGUUCAUUGAGAAGUACUCAGACCAAGAUGAACGAUUCAAACCUUUUACACCGACCAAAAGACGAACCGAUUUUUCAACACAAACCAUCACAACGUUGAAGAAAAAAAUCAAAGAUGAAAACGGCGGAAAAAAAGAUAUCUAAGGAAUUUGAAAAAUAGUCAUAAAUAAAUUAAGAUUCGAGAAAUUAUUAUUUCGUAGUUUGGUUGAUUGAGUUUUUCUUGUGGUUCGUAUAGUU